rnacentral:rRNA from 1 species
GAGCGGUAACAGGCGUAGCAAUACGUGCUGACGAGCGGCGAACGGGUGAGUAACGCUUCGGAAUCUGCCCAAUGGUGGGGAAUAACCAGCCGAAAGGUUGGCUAAUACCGCAUGAGCCCUACGGGGGAAAGCGGGGGAUCGUAAGACCUCGCGCCGAUGGAUGAGCCGAAGCCGGAUUAGCUAGUUGGUAGGGUAACGGCCUACCAAGGCGACGAUCCGUAGCUGGUCUGAGAGGACGACCAGCCACACUGGGACUGAGACACGGCCCAGACUCCUACGGGAGGCAGCAGUGGGGAAUAUUGGACAAUGGGGGAAACCCUGAUCCAGCGACGCCGCGUGUGUGAAGAAGGCCUGCGGGUUGUAAAGCACUUUUAGUGGGGAUGAAAAGCUCAGAGCUAACACCUCUGGGUCUUGACCUAACCCACAGAAAAAGCACCGGCUAACUCUGUG